CACGUAGGGCGCAAGCGUUGUCCGGAAUUAUUGGGCGUAAAGAGCUCGUAGGCGGACUGUCACGUCUGCUGUGAAAAGCUAGGGCUUAACCCUGGCCUUGCAGUGGAUACGGGCAGACUAGAGGUAGGUAGGGGAGAAUGGAAUUCCCGGUGUAGCGGUGAAAUGCGCAGAUAUCGGGAGGAACACCGGUGGCGAAGGCGGUUCUCUGGGCCUUACCUGACGCUGAGGAGUGAAAGCGUGGGGAGCGAACAGG
rnacentral:rRNA from 1 species